GACGAACGCUGGCGGCGUGCUUAACACAUGCAAGUCGAACGGAAAGGCCCUGCUUUUGUGGGGUGCUCGAGUGGCGAACGGGUGAGUAACACGUGAGUAACCUGCCCUUGACUUUGGGAUAACUUCAGGAAACUGGGGCUAAUACCGGAUAGGAGCUCCUGCUGCAUGGUGGGGGUUGGAAAGUUUCGGCGGUUGGGGAUGGACUCGCGGCUUAUCAGCUUGUUGGUGGGGUAGUGGCUUACCAAGGCUUUGACGGGUAGCCGGCCUGAGAGGGGGACCGGCCACAUGGGGACUGAGAUACGGCCCAGACUCCUACGGGAGGCAGCAGGGGGGAAUAUUGCACAAUGGGCGGAAGCCUGAUGCAGCGACGUCGCGUGCGGGAUGACGGCCUUCGGGUUGUAAACCGCUUUCGCCUGUGACGAAGCGUGAGUGACGGUAAUGGGUAAAGAAGCACCGGCUAACUACGUG
rnacentral:rRNA from 1 species